UACGUAGGGUGCGAGCGUUAAUCGGAAUUAUUGGGCGUAAAGCGCGCGCAGGCGGUCCUUUAAGUCUGAUGUGAAAGCCCACGGCUCAACCGUGGAGGGUCAUUGGAAACUGACAGACUUGAGGGCUUCAGAGGGACACGGAAUUCCGGGUGGAGUGGUGAAAUGCGUAGAGAUCCGGAGGAACACCAAAGGCGAAGGCAGUGUCCUGGGGAGUACCUGACGCUCAGGUGCGAAAGCCAGGGGAGCGAACGGG
rnacentral:rRNA from 1 species